rnacentral:tRNA from 1 species
AAAACAGAAGUAAAUUGUACAUUUGGCUACGGCCCAAAUUUUGGUGAAAGCCCUGUUUUA